AACGAACGCUGGCGGCAUGCCUAACACAUGCAAGUCGAACGAGACCUUCGGGUCUAGUGGCGCACGGGUGCGUAACGCGUGGGAACCUGCCCUUAGGUUCGGAAUAACUCCCCGACAGGGGUGCUAAUACCGGAUAAUGUCUUCGGACCAAAGAUUUAUCGCCCUUGGAUGGGCCCGCGUUGGAUUAGCUAGUUGGUAGGGUAAAAGCCUACCAAGGCGACGAUCCAUAGCUGGUCUGAGAGGAUGAUCAGCCACACUGGGACUGGGACACGGCCCAGACUCCUACGGGAGGCAGCAGUGGGGAAUAUUGGACAAUGGGCGAAAGCCUGAUCCAGCACUGCCGCGUGAGUGAUGAAGGCCUGAGGGUUGUAAAGCUCUUUUACCCGGGAUGAUAAUGACAGUACCGGGAGAAUAAGCUCCGGCUAACUCCGUG
rnacentral:rRNA from 1 species